rnacentral:tRNA from 1 species
GGGGCUGUAGCUCAUUUGGGAGAGUGCUUGACUGGCAGUCAAGAGGUAGCGGGUUCGAACCCCGCCAGCUCCACCA